ensembl:lncRNA
AGGAAGGUCAGUCCUGUGAGUAGGGUGUGGGUGGCACAGGCCCUGUUAGGGCAGCCGAUGGACAGAGAGCAAGAGAACAGCCAUCUUGAGUGGCCUGACCCUACAGGACACAUCUUGCUAAGGGAUGCACAAAAUAAAUCCAGACAAAACCCAGAUGCUUGCAGACAGUUCCAAGCUCUGGCGGCCGGAUGCCAAAAAGCUGAAUGCAAUUCCUGGGGCAUUUCCUUACUAUCUGAGCCACCAGGGAAGCCCCGCUUUUAUACGAGAAGUGGACAUAACUCUCCUUCUGUCAGGCCAUUCAUGUCAGACUUUGAAUCAGUCUUAUCAGGUCUCCUGGGGAAGAGAUUCCUGCCCUUCUCCCAGCAGUUGGAAACUUCUAUUGACCUGACCCUGGGACUGUUUCUUGACUCUCUGGCAGGACACAAAGGGAGAAGAUGCAGGCGGGGUGUCGCAUCUUUUCUAUAGCACCAUCUGCUUCUCUCCUCCAGAUCUGCACCCCAAGCAAAGCUUUCUCAAUGAGCCCAGCAGAGAUCCUUAGAGAAGAGCCUUCAAGUGGGG